AAGGGCGGGCUGGUUGUGAGCUGGAUUGGAGCAGAACUGCCAAGUAGCAUGAGGUGUCCCAGGCAACGUGGGCUGUGAUGUUAGUUCUUGAGAAUUGGAACGAAGCAGGUGCUGAUUGCGGUCUUCUUUGGUGGAGUGGAUGAUACUGGCUUCACUGUUGGACCUUGGACUCGGAGAGGAACACGUGAGCACAAUCGUAGGUUGCAUCAGCAGUAGUCAGCAUUGUGGAGAAGCUCCCUUGCUGGCUGCAGCAGUAUAUUUUGCCCGUAAUUCUGCGUGUG